rnacentral:lncRNA from 1 species
UAGAAGGAGCAAAAGGGUUAGGAUCGAAAAGAAUCUGGAUGAAGGUUUCUUUAUCUUCUUAGUUGAGGAUACACCUACCUCAUAUCAGGAAGUUAUGAGCUCUUCUGAUGCUCUAUUCUAGAAGGAGGCAAUCAAUAGUGAGAUCGAAUCAAUUAUUAAUAAUAAUACUUGGAUUCUCACUGAUUUAUCUCUUAGAGCCAAACCAUUAGGUCAU